rnacentral:misc_RNA from 1 species
UCGAUAUCUUGAACGCAUAUUGCGGGCCUCGGGCAUUCCCGAGGCCACGCCUGUCUCAGGGUCGGUUGAACGUAUCUAUCGCGAGUUGUCUAUUGCUCGCGCGGUGGAUCGUCGCGGCGAGCCGCUCGUCGGCACGUCACGUCGUCCGAAAUUCAGACGGUUUGCACAACGCGAAACCGCACGUCUCGAUUCCGACGAACUCAGUACGCGAGGCGGUUGCUCGGAUGCUCUUGUCUUCGAACCGUCGUCGUCGCGCUGGCGUUUGUUGAUGUGCGAAAGUAGCAGUGCCAACGAAGCAUCGAUCGAUCGAACGAACGAACGAACC